GACGAACCGUGCGAACGUUAUUCGGAAUCACUGGGCUUAAAGCGCGUGUAGGCGGGACGGCGCGUCUGUCGCUGAAAUCCCCCGGCUCAACCGGGGAACGGGCGCGGAUACGACCGUCCUGGAGGGGCAUAGGGGGACCUGGAACUUCCGGUGGAGCGGUGAAAUGCGUUGAGAUCGGAAGGAACGCCCGUGGCGAAAGCGAGGUCCUGGACGCUUACUGACGCUGAGACGCGAAAGCCAGGGGAGCGAACGGG
rnacentral:rRNA from 1 species